UGGUAGCUCGUCGGGCUCAUAACCCGAAGGUCGUCGGUUCAAAUCCGGCCCCCGCAACCA
rnacentral:tRNA from 3 species